rnacentral:rRNA from 3 species
CUCUCGGCAACGGAUAUCUAGGCUCUCGCAUCGAUGAAGAACGUAGCGAAAUGCGAUACUUGGUGUGAAUUGCAGAAUCCCGCGAAUCAUCGAGUUUUUGAACGCAAGUUGCGCCCGAAGCCACUCGGCCGAGGGCACGUCUGCCUGGGCGUCACGCACCGUUGC